CCCUGAUUUAGAGCAUUUGGUGAUUCCAAGAUAUAAAUUCUCAUAAUGAAAAUUUAACAAUUGACCCUCUGGAGCAGUACAAGCCAUCUCCUGUACAUCAUCAUUGCAUGUAAGAAUUAUAAAGCUCUUUUGUGGGCUGCAUCAUUUGAUUCCCACAACAGUCGUCUUAAGGAGAUGCUAUUUAUUCUGAUUUUGCAGGUUUGAUGGCACAGAUGAGCUAAAUGACUUGUCUAGGGUCACUAUGCUAGAAAUGUCUUCAAUGAAAUUUAGUAAGAGGUCUUUUAUUUUUUACUUCAGGUCUAAGACAUGCAUGCAACUGCCUUUGAAAAGAGCUGGCAUAAGUUCUUGAAUAGUAGAUUAUCAAAUAUUUAUUAACUUCAUUUGCAUUUUUAAUAGGAUAACUAGAAUUGUGGAUAUGGGAAGUACUAUGACAUAAUGUUUUUAGAUUAAAGCAAUGGAUUUGACCAUUUCUUUUAGGAAUCUGACAGUUUUUUUUUUUACUCUCCUUUAGGCAAAAUGGAAAGAUGUGAGGUAAAUAGUUUAGUAGGCAGAUUUGCAACUGAUUGAGUAACCAGACCAAAUAGUGGUUAAUUAUCAAUGCCUCAUUGUCAGUUUGGAUAGAAAGAAGUCUCUGUGAAGUCCUCCUGGGGAUUUGUGAUUCAUGAGCACAGGAUCCAUUAAUUUUUAACUAUUUCUGUCUCCAUCAACAUGUGGCACAAUGAUUAAAACACAAAAAUAAUCUAAUAUGCAUUCAUUGAAUUGAUUUGAAUGUCUGCCCAUAGAAAAGGUCAAGGAGAGAUAUUAUGAGAACUAAGAAAGCACAUGAAGCAAAGUUGUGAUAGAUGUCCCAGAUCUUUUCAAGUUCAAUCACUCUAUUGAACCAAAUGGUUCUAGAAGCUGCUCUCUUCCAUUAUGUCCUAAUACUUCUUCCAGUUUUGUGGGAACAGCCUUUAAGAGCUGGAAAAUGAAAGCUCCAAUUCCACACUUGAUUCUAUUAUAUGCUACAUUCACUCAGAGCCUGAAGGUUGUGACCAAAAGAGGUUCAGAUCAGAUGAAAUCUCUAGCUCUUUGUGAUCCGUCUCUUCCUAGGGCCACUGACCAUCUCAGAUAAAUAAGAAGAAUAAAAGGAGUGCUCUGUGUGUCCA
rnacentral:lncRNA from 1 species